rnacentral:rRNA from 1 species
AGUGAACGCUGGCGGUAGGCCUAACACAUGCAAGUCGAACGGCAGCACAGUAAGAGCUUGCUCUUACGGGUGGCGAGUGGCGGACGGGUGAGGAAUACAUCGGAAUCUACUUUUUCGUGGGGGAUAACGUAGGGAAACUUACGCUAAUACCGCAUACGACCUACGGGUGAAAGCAGGGGAUCUUCGGACCUUGCGCGAUUGAAUGAGCCGAUGUCGGAUUAGCUAGUUGGCGGGGUAAAGGCCCACCAAGGCGACGAUCCGUAGCUGGUCUGAGAGGAUGAUCAGCCACACUGGAAAUGAGACACGGUCCAGACUCCGACGGGAGGCAGGAGUGGGGAAUAUUGGACAAUGGGCGCAAGCCUGAUCCAGCCAUACCGCGUGGGUGAAGAAGGCCUUCGGGUUGUAAAGCCCUUUUGUUGUGAAAGAAAAGCAGCAGGUUAAUACCCCGCUGUUCUGACGGUACCCAAAGAAUAAGCACCGGCUAACUUCGU